UGUUCAGCACCUCCUGGGAACCCCUCUGAAAGGCCCCCAGAUGUGGAAGUGCCACAGGUCAACUGGUCCUCUGUGUAUUCACCUGGCAUCCCUUGGGAAGAGAGCCGCGCAGACACCACCACAUCCGUACCCACCCCAAGGAUCUCCUAUUGCUGGAAGAAGAGCUGUAAUUUCGGCUGCCUGAUCCUGGCUGCAGAAAGAAGCACUGAAGACGUGAGGAAAUACAUUAGUUGCAUGCAGUCUGCUCACGCUAAACCGUAAGGAGUGGGGCAAAAUAAUUCAUUUCUGGCAGGCUGAGCUCUAUUGCUGCCAGGCAGUUGGUUUAACCUGAAAAAGGGGCAGGAUGGAUUAAAUGCGGAGCAGAUUACAUCAGAUUCACACUGCAGUAAGGAGAGAGAGAGAAUGGGAUCUUCUUAUGUUGGCUUGAUCUCGCCUAGAAAUAAAGGGAUCUUUUAAAAGUCUCUAAGUGACCAAGCAUAGGGAUUCCAUUGAGCCACGUGGGGUUGUACAGCAUUUACCCAGCGAUGCAGAGAAUCUGGGGAGGAUUUGUAUAAUUUUGAGUCUGAUUCUGGUGGAUGUGGUUUUGGGUUGGCAGGAUGGAGCACCGUGCCAGCUUGCAGGGAUGUAUUUCUCUUUGGGCAUCUCCUGACGUGACAAA